rnacentral:rRNA from 1 species
UCAUCUUCGGGGGUAGAGCACUGUUUCGGCUAGGGGGUCAUCCCGACUUACCAACCCGAUGCAAACUACGAAUACCGAAGAAUGUUAUCACGGGAGACACACGGCGGGUGCUAACGUCCGUCGUGAAGAGGGAAACAACCCAGACCGCCAGCUAAGGUCCCAAAGUCAUGGUUAAGUGGGAAACGAUGUGGGAAGGCCCAGACAGCCAGGAUGUUGGCUUAGAAGCAGCCAUCAUUUAAAGAAAGCGUAAUAGCUCACUGGUCGAGUCGGCCUGCGCGGAAGAUGUAACGGGGCUAAACCAUGCACCGAAGCUGCGGCAGCGACACUAUGUGUUGUUGGGUAGGGGAGCGUUCUGUAAGCCGUUGAAGGUGGCCUGUGAGGGUUGCUGGAGGUAUCAGAAGUGCGAAUGCUGACAUAAGUAACGAUAAUGCGGGUGAAAAACCCGCACGCCGGAAGACCAAGGGUUCCUGUCCAACGUUAAUCGGGGCAGGGUGAGUCGACCCCUAAGGCGAGGCCGAAAGGCGUAGUCGAUGGGAAACAGGUUAAUAUUCCUGUACUUGGUGUUACUGCGAAGGGGGGACGGAGAAGGCUAUGUUGGCCGGGCGACGGUUGUCCCGGUUUAAGCAUGUAGGCGGAUGUUCCAGGUAAAUCCGGAACGUUAUUAACGCUGAGGUGUGAUGACGAGGCACUACGGUGCUGAAGUGACAAAUGCCCUGCUUCCAGGAAAAGCCUCUAAGCAUCAGGUAACAUCAAAUCGUACCCCAAACCGACACAGGUGGUCAGGUAGAGAAUACCAAGGCGCUUGAGAGAACUCGGGUGAAGGAACUAGGCAAAAUGGUGCCGUAACUUCGGGAGAAGGCACGCUGAUGGUAGGUGAAGUGACUUGCUCGUGGAGCUGAAAUCAGUCGAAGAUACCAGCUGGCUGCAACUGUUUAUUAAAAACACAGCACUGUGCAAACACGAAAGUGGACGUAUACGGUGUGACGCCUGCCCGGUGCCGGAAGGUUAAUUGAUGGGGUUAUCCUCACGGAGAAGCUCUUGAUCGAAGCCCCGGUAAACGGCGGCCGUAACUAUAACGGUCCUAAGGUAGCGAAAUUCCUUGUCGGGUAAGUUCCGACCUGCACGAAUGGCGUAAUGAUGGCCAGGCUGUCUCCACCCGAGACUCAGUGAAAUUGAACUCGCUGUGAAGAUGCAGUGUACCCGCGGCAAGACGGAAAGACCCCGUGAACCUUUACUAUAGCUUGACACUGAACACUGGUCCUUGAUGUGUAGGAUAGGUGGGAGGCUUUGAAGUGUGGACGCCAGUCUGCAUGGAGCCGUCCUUGAAAUACCACCCUUUAAUGGCUGGUGUUCUAACGUGGGCCCGUGAUCCGGGUUGCGGACAGUGUCUGGUGGGUAGUUUGACUGGGGCGGUCUCCUCCUAAAGAGUAACGGAGGAGCACGAAGGUCAGCUAAUCCUGGUCGGACAUCAGGAGGUUAGUGCAAUGGCAUAAGCUGGCUUGACUGCGAGCGUGACGGCGCGAGCAGGUGCGAAAGCAGGUCAUAGUGAUCCGGUGGUUCUGAAUGGAAGGGCCAUCGCUCAACGGAUAAAAGGUACUCCGGGGAUAACAGGCUGAUACCGCCCAAGAGUUCAUAUCGACGGCGGUGUUUGGCACCUCGAUGUCGGCUCAUCACAUCCUGGGGCUGAAGUAGGUCCCAAGGGUAUGGCUGUUCGCCAUUUAAAGUGGUACGCGAGCUGGGUUUAGAACGUCGUGAGACAGUUCGGUCCCUAUCUGCCGUGGGCGCUGGAGAAUUGAGGGGGGCUGCUCCUAGUACGAGAGGACCGGAGUGGACGCAUCACUGGUGUUCGGGUUGUCAUGCCAAUGGCAUUGCCCGGUAGCUAAAUGCGGAAGAGAUAAGUGCUGAAAGCAUCUAAGCACGAAACUUGCCCCGAGAUGAGUUCUCCCUGACUCUUUGAGGGUCCUGAAGGAACGUUGAAGACGACGACGUUGAUAGGCCGGGUGUGUAAGCGCAGCGAUGCGUUGAGCUAACCGGUACUAAUGAACCGUGAGGCUUAACCUU